AUUUAAAUAAUUUAAUAUAAAAUAUUGAUUUGUGGUAUCAAAAAUAUGGUUAAUAUCAUUUUAAAUU
rnacentral:tRNA from 1 species